AGACAGUUUUUCAAUCAGAAUUUAUAUAAAGUUGAAGUGAUUUGUUAUUGGAACUAGCUCAAAUCGUUACCGCAGCGAUUAGUCAGUACAGAUAGUCAGUAGUCAGAAAACAGUAUUGAUUAAAAGUUCAUACAAUCAGUCAGAAGAAACCUGUUUCGGAUAAGGAGAAGGAAA